GACGAACGCUGGCGGCGUGCUUAACACAUGCAAGUCGAACGGAAAGGCCCUGCUUUUGUGGGGUGCUCGAGUGGCGAACGGGUGAGUAACACGUGAGUAACCUGCCCUUGACUUUGGGAUAACUUCAGGAAACUGGGGCUAAUACCGGAUAGGAUCUCCUGCUGCAUGGUGGGGGUUGGAAAGUUUCGGCGGUUGGGGAUGGACUCGCGGCUUAUCAGCUUGUUGGUGGGGUAGUGGCUUACCAAGGCUUUGACGGGUAGCCGGCCUGAGAGGGUGACCGGCCACAUUGGGACUGAGAUACGGCCCAGACUACUACGGGAGGCAGCAGUGGGGAAUAUUGCACAAUGGGCGGAAGCCUGAUGCAACAACGCCGCGUGCGGGAUGACGGCCUUCGGGUUGUAAACCGCUUUCGCCUGUGACGAAGCGUGAGUGACGGUAAUGGGUAAAGAAGCACCGGCUAACUACGUG
rnacentral:rRNA from 1 species